AUGAUCACAUAAUUUCGGCUUCUUGCAUUCCAGUGCCAUUCUGGAACGCAUCUCGGUCGGUGUGUACAGGAACUAAUUAUUUGCUCAAGAAAACAGAUAUUAACCAAUUAUUCAUCUAAAGUAUAUAAUAUAAGAAAAGGGGGAUAGUACAACUAAUACAUAGACACUUUAAAUAGACAUAUAUAAUCACAAAUAUCAGAAGGAACAUUAUAUUAGUAUUGUUAUUAAGAGUCCUCAACUGCACUAAAUUUG